AGACAAUGCGUGGAUAAAGAUAACGACACAAUACAGCCCGGUGAUUGCUGUGGGGAUAUUACUGCUGUUCACAGCUGCUGUAAUUCUUAUUGCAAUUAUAAUCAAGAGGAAAAAAGGGAAUGAAGUCCAAGUUUACGACUUAAACGCAACUAAUACUCCAUGUUCGGCAGAGACAACCUUUUGAAACAUUAAAGUGCAAUUUGAUGAGAUUGUUCUACGUCAUAGUCAUGCAGCGUGGAAAAAAGCCCUUCGGCCCAACUGCACCCUUUCCAGCUUGAAACCACAAUCACAUCUGCCAGCCUUCAAGAUUUUAAAGGCCGCUCAAGACACGUUAAGCCAUAAACCACAAGCAGUCAUGCAGCUAGCCAGAGUCAAUAACGUCAUAGAGGCACACAGCAUGGCAACAGGCCCUUUGGUCCAAUUCGGCCACGCCAACCAACAUGUUCCAUCGACACUAGUCCCAUAUGCCUACGUUUGGCCCAUAUCUCUCUAAACCUCUCCAUGUGCCUGUCCAAAUGUAUUUUAUUCAUUGUAAUAGUACCUGCAUCAACAACCACCUUUGGCCGCUCAUUUCACAGACCCACCACUCUCUGUGUGAAAAAAAGUUGUCCUUCCUGUUCCAAUUAAAUCUUUCUCCACUCACCUUUAACCUAUGUCCUCUAGUUUUUGAUUCCCAACGCUGGGUAAAAGACUUUGUGCAUUUUACCAUAUCGAUUCCUCUCAUGAUCUUACACACUCUAAUAAGAUCACCCCUCAUCCUCCCGUGCACCAAGGAAUAAAGUGAUUGGCUGCUCAACCGCUCCCUAUAGCCCAGGCCUUCAAUUCCUGGCAACAUCCUCGUCAGACUUAUCUCCACCCACUUCAGCUUGACGAUAUCUUUCCUGUAACAGGGUGACGAAAAUCGAACACAAUACUGCAAAUGCAGUCUCCCCAACGACUUAUACCACUGCAACGUGAAACACCAACUUGUAUACACAAUACUCUGACUGCUAAAGGCCAAAGUGCCAAACAUCUUCUUGGCCUCCCUAACUGGUGAUGCAUAACAUGGAGUUAUAUACCCACAACCCUCUGCUCUGCUAAACUCCCUAUCUACCGGAGAUGCCACUUACAGGUAACUAUGUAUCUGGACACCUAGAUCCCUCUGCUCUCAAACACUGUUCCAGGACACUGCUAUUCACGGUGAAGCUCUUGACCUGAUUUGAUGUAAUGCUCAUGUAAGUUACUUGAAGUCACCUUUCCAAUAUCCACAUUUUUUAACAGACGACCACACGACCUAGGAGCAUCAUGAGACCGUUCGGCACAUCAAGUCUUCUUCGCCACUUGAUCAUGGCUGACCUAGAUUUCCCUCUCAUCCCCAUUCACCUGCCUUCUCCUCGGAACCGUUGACGCCAUUUUUAAUUGAUAACCUAUCAAUUUCCGCUAUUAAAUAUACCUAUUGAUUCGGCCUCCAUUGCCGGCUGUGGCAAUUAAUUCGACAUUAUCACCGCCCUCUGGCAAAUAAAUUCCUAUUCACCUUUCUUAAGGAAUGUUAUUUUAUUCUGAAGUUCUGCCAUUUGAUUCUAAACUCUCCCACAACUGGAAACACCCUCCCCACAUUCACAUCAUCCAGGCCUUCCAUUAUUGAGUACGCUUUAAUUAGGUCCCCCCUCAUGCUUCUAAACAUUAGCGAGUCAAGGCCCAGUGCCUUUAAACGCUCAUCAUACGUCAACCCAAUCAUCCCUGGGAUCAGUACCGAAACCAUCCUCUAGACCCCCUCCCUCGCCAGCAAACAUAUCGGGUCCAAAACUUCCCGCAAUUUUCCAAAAGACACAGAAGCAGAUUGAGGCCAUUUAGCCCAUAGAGUCUACUCCGGCAUUCAUUCAUGACUGAUUUAUCUUUCCAAAUCAACCCCGUUUUCCUGCCUUGAACCCGUAUUCUUUGACGCCCUUACUAAUUAAGGCAUGUUAGCAAUAUUUGCCUUGAAGAACAAUAUGUUCAGUUUAGUUUAUUUUUUUGCACUGUUAUUUGCACUGAUAAGCAUUGUUUGCAUGCCUUCCAGUCAGCGGUUGACAAUCAUAUCGCUUUAUGUAUUUAAAGAGUUAUCAUUAGUCUAAGUAUUAUUUUAACGUGAUAUUAGUUGAGUUCAGUUUAUUGUCACACAUACCGCGGUACUGUGAAAAGUCUGAUGACAGCUGGGAAGAUACUGACCCCUCUGGAAGUGAGCUUCUACAGAAUUAUGUACAUUUUGCCCGUUGGGAGAGAGGAGAAGAGGGUGGCAGGGUGCGACUCAUUUUUGAUUUGCUGGUGGCCUUGCCGGGCAGCCUGAGGUAUAAAUGUAUUCAUUUUUUAUUUUUUUUUGAAAAUAUUUUUUAUUGGAGAUAGGUACAUAAUCUAUUACAUCAUUACUGUCUUACAUUUUUAAAUUGAUAAUAUUGUCGGUUAUUAUUACAUUGUCUCCAAUACUUUUUGCCUUUUUCUUCAUUUUUUUUAAAAACUAGAUAGAACUAAAGAGAUAGAUGAAAUAGAGGAAGAAAAGAAAGGAAAGAAAAACAAAAACAAAACAAAAAAAAGGGGGAAAGAGAUAGUUAAAGAAGAAUGGAAAAAUUUAUUAAAAUAAAAAACAUCGUUCGAGAUAUGUUCGUACAUUUCAGAGUGUAGCAUUUCAUCCAAUCUUUAGCCCGAGUGCUAGUCAGGUUCCUGUGCUGAACUAUUCUGACCCUUUAAGUAAUCAAUAAAAGGAGACCAUGUUCCAACGAAUAAUUCCUGUUUGUCCAACAGGGAAAAUCUGAUUCUUUCCACGUUUAAGGUCUCCGUCAUUUCUAUAAUCCACAUUUUGAUUGUGGGGGCCGUAGGGCCUUUCCAAAAUUUUAGAAUUAAUUUUUUUCCUGUUAUUAAACUAUAAUCAAUAAAGUUUCUUUGUGUUA